rnacentral:rRNA from 1 species
AGGACGAGCGCUGGCGGCGUGCUUAACACAUGCAAGUCGAGCGACGCUCCUCCUUCGGGAGGAUGACGGAGCGGCGAACGGGUGAGUAACACGUGGGCAACCUGCCCCUAGCUCUGGGAUAACCCCGGGAAAUCGGGACUAAUACCGGAUAUGAAGUCGGACGGCAUCUUCUGACUUGGAAAGUUUUUCGGCUAGGGAUGGACUCGCGGCCUAUCAGCUUGUUGGUGGGGUAACGGCCUACCAAGGCGACGACGGGUA